rnacentral:rRNA from 1 species
GACGAACGCUGGCGGCGUGCCUAAUACAUGCAAGUUGAGCGCUGAAGGUUGGUACUUGUACCGACUGGAUGAGCAGCGAACGGGUGAGUAACGCGUGGGGAAUCUGCCUUUGAGCGGGGGACAACAUUUGGAAACGAAUGCUAAUACCGCAUAAAAACUUUAAACACAAGUUUUAAGUUUGAAAGAUGCAAUUGCAUCACUCAAAGAUGAUCCCGCGUUGUAUUAGCUAGUUGGUGAGGUAAAGGCUCACCAAGGCGAUGAUACAUAGCCGACCUGAGAGGGUGAUCGGCCACAUUGGGACUGAGACACGGCCCAAACUCCUACGGGAGGCAGCAGUAGGGAAUCUUCGGCAAUGGACGAAAGUCUGACCGAGCAACGCCGCGUGAGUGAAGAAGGUUUUCGGAUCGUAAAAAUCUGUUGGUAGAGAAGAACGUUGGUGAGAGUGGAAAGCUCAUCAAGUGACGGUAACUACCCAGAAAGGGACGGCUAACUACGUG